CAUCACCGUGAGUAAUCACGGAUGAUUAGCAGGCAGAAGUCAGCAGACGGCAUAGUAGUCAACGCCCGGGGUAAUGCCCGGUUCAUGGCGAAGGCC
rfam:Spirochaeta africana DSM 8902, complete genome.